UAAGUGUAAAAAAGACUUCUAAUCUUUAAACAGCCCAACGCUACACUUGG
rnacentral:tRNA from 1 species